rnacentral:rRNA from 1 species
AACGAACGCUGGCGGCAGGCCUAACACAUGCAAGUCGAGCGAGGACUUCGGUCCUAGCGGCGGACGGGUGAGUAACGCGUGGGAACGUGCCCUUUGCUACGGAAUAGCCCCGGGAAACUGGGAGUAAUACCAUAUGUGCCCUUCGGGGGAAAGAUUUAUCGGUAAAGGAUCGGCCCGCGUUGGAUUAGGUAGUUGGUGGGGUAAUGGCCUACCAAGCCGACGAUCCAUAGCUGGUUUGGGAGGAUGAUCAGCCACACUGGGACUGAGACACGGCCCAGACUCCUACGGGAGGCAGCAGUGGGGAAUCUUAGACAAUGGGGGAAACCCUGAUCUAGCCAUGCCGCGUGAGCGAUGAAGGCCUUAGGGUUGUAAAGCUCUUUCAGUGGGGAAGAUAAUGACGGUACCCACAGAAGAAGCCCCGGCUAACUCCGUGCCAGCAGCCGCCGUAA